rnacentral:rRNA from 1 species
GACGAACGCUGGCGGCGUGCUUAACACAUGCAAGUCGAACGAAGUGGCGAACGGGUGAGUAACGCGUAAUCAACCUGCCCUUCAGAGGGGGACAACAGUUGGAAACGACUGCUAUUACCGCUUCCUGAAGGAGGGGAUUGCGUUUGAUUAGCUAGUUGGCGGGGUAACGGCCCACCAAGGCGAUGUUCAGUAGCCGGUCUGAGAGGAUGAACGGCCACAUUGGAACGGAGACACGGCCCAGACUCCUACGGGAGGCAGCAGUGGGGAAUCUUCCGCAAUGGACGAAAGUCUGACGGAGCAACGCCGCGUGAGUGAUGACGGCCUUCGGGUUGUAAAGCUCUGUUAAUCGGGACGCGGUACCGGAAUAGAAAGCCACGGCUAACUACGUGCCAGCAGCCGCGGUAAUAC